rnacentral:rRNA from 1 species
CUGGCUCAGGAUGAACGCUAGCGACAGGCUUAACACAUGCAAGUCGAGGGGCAUCACGGGAGUAGCAAUACAACUGGUGGCGACCGGCGCACGGGUGAGUAACGCGUAUGCAACCUACCUAUCAGAGGGAAUAACCCGGCGAAAGUCGGACUAAUACCGCAUAAAACAGGGGCACCGCAUGGUGAUAUUUGUUAAAGAAAUUCGCUGAUAGAUGGGCAUGCGUUCCAUUAGGUAGUUGGUGGGGUAACGGCUCACCAAGCCGACGAUGGAUAGGGGAACUGAGAGGUUGGUCCCCCACACUGGUACUGAGACACGGACCAGACUCCUACGGGAGGCAGCAGUGAGGAAUAUUGGUCAAUGGGCGGGAGCCUGAACCAGCCAAAGUCGCGUGAAGGAAGAAGGAUCUAUGGUUCGUAAACUUCUUUGCAGGGGAAUAAAGUGCAGGACGUGUCCCGUUUUGUAUGUACCCUGAGAAUAAGGAUCGGCUAACUCCGUGCCAGCCGCCGC